UACGAAGGGGCUAGCGUUGCUCGGAAUUACUGGGCGUAAAGCGCGUGUAGGCGGUCUCGCAAGUCGGAUGUGAAAGCCCAGGGCUCAACCCUGGAAGUGCACUCGAUACUGCGAGGCUAGAGUCCCGGAGAGGAUGGUGGAACUCUCGGUGUAGAGGUGAAAUUCGUAGAUAUCGAGAAGAACACCGGUGGCGAAGGCGGCCAUCUGGACGGUGACUGACGCUGAGACGCGAAAGCGUGGGGAGCAAACAGG
rnacentral:rRNA from 1 species